GGGCAGCUUUCAGUCAGUGCAGUACUAAAUUUCCAGCUGCGUUCGCUCAGGUUGGGGUCUUGCUCCCACCCCUUUCUCGUGAUAUUUUUGUUUUGUUUGACAGGUUAUGCAAAACAACAGGUGAGCAAAAACUAAAAUAUACCCACACACCAGGUGAUCUGUGCAGCGUUGAGUCCACCUGGGUGAUCUCAAGCACGCUUUUGGUGUCACCAACAUACAUUUCCAUCCGUUUUCUUUACUUAUUGUUAUUAUUUUACACAACAUCUCAGCUCUGGAGAAGACCUGCUUGGAGGAACGGACCAAACCCAAUGAAGACCUUUGACCUCUGUCAUUGAAGUCAGGAUUACAUUUGUUAUUGAUCCUUCUUUGAAAGGAGUUCAAAAUCCAACGUUCUGGUUUCCUGGAUUCUCUGUUUCCUUUCUGUCGCUGAUAGUUGAAGUUCUGAUGAAGGUCACAGAACAAACUGAUCUUCAGGAGGAAGAACGGCAGAACCUGUGACUGAUGGAGACGUCAUGGCCUCUGUUCUCCAGACUGCAAGACACAAAAAAAGGUGGGGAUGAUCUUCCCUUUGUUUGGGGGAAAAAGACACAUCGCCUGGAUAACUGGCACACACCACCAGACACGCUCCAGGAGGUUUUUAAUGAAGGCACUGCGAUGUCUUUAGCCAAGACAACAGCUUAUGACCUGAAGGGACACUCCACACUCCAUGUACUCCACAAAACCAAAGGACUUGUGCCACUUUGAUCCGUCAGUUCGAAAUGGGAGGAUCAUGGAAAAACAGCAUGAGGGCUUUAAUCUAGUGAUUACUGAUUCAGGUGGCGUGGAUAUCAUCUGUGGACAAUUAUUUACAGAUUAGGGCACAUAGUGUCCAGCUGGCAGGUCGGGUGACUGGUGACGAGAAAAGAACAAAAUGCAUGAUCCCAGAAGAGGAAGAGACAAGCAAAGUAGGUAUGAAAUACCUGCUGAAGGGGGGGCAGACUUUUUGAAAAAACACAGAGCAACUCACAGAGCAAUCCCAAUGUCAUUCCUUGGAAUACAGACAGACAGCCGGCAUUGAUUGGUUAUUGGUUUCUAGGGACGGCCGCUUUUGACUGAGACUUGGGAAAAGAGUUAGCACCAUUUCCCACUAACAAAAGAGGAAAACUAAGAGUCACACAAAACCCAAAUAAUCCCCAGAGAAUUAAAGCAAA